rnacentral:rRNA from 1 species
UACGGAGGGUGCGAGCGUUGUCCGGAAUCACUGGGCGUAAAGGGCGCGUAGGCGGCUUCUUAAGCGUGCGGUGAAAGCUCGGGGCUCAACUCCGAGUCGGCCGUGCGAACUGGGAAGCUGGAGCACAGUAGAGGCGGGUGGAAUUCCGGGUGUAGCGGUGGAAUGCGUAGAGAUCCGGAAGAACACCGGUGGCGAAGGCGGCCCGCUGGGCUGUGGCU